AGCUUCACAUGAACUGAAUGUCGAUCAAGCUAAAAAGAUUAGCUGGAGUUGAACUGGGCGCGUGUUCUUGCAAGGGAUGCCGAUUACGUUGCUUUGAUCAGACACAGUCUAACUGUCCGUCUCUUAACUAAUCUAUGUGGUUUGACAGUAGUUAUUAUUUUAGGCGACAACUCUCCCUCCCUUUGUUUGAAAUAAACAAAUAAAAAAACAGGGAAGUCACUUUUAAAUGAACAAAUAUCAAACCAGGAAGUAACCUGCUAACAAACGAACAGCCUACUAGCUAACAAACCGAGAAAUAGUAAAAAAAAACUGAUACAGUCCUCCCUUGCUGAAAAUGAAUGAAUUAGUAAAUGAUCACUGUUUUGUGGUUGACUAUGGUCUAUUGAUAGGCCAAACUAUUGAAAGACAAGUUAUGUGUAGUAUUGUGGUCACCAGGUGUCAGUAAUGUUACAUUGAUUACUUUGAUACUGCAUGUCCAACAUGAUAGAGUGGAAAAAAAUGUGUGGAAGAAAAACGGUUCCAUCCAGACUGGUCUCCAAAGGCCUGCUCUCCACCUCUUCCUUCAGAAAGGCAUCAGAGGAUCUUCUGUGCACAAAGAAACAAAUCCUCCAGAGGUAAAACAGUUCAAUGGGCCUUGAAGGAGGCUAGAAAUGUCCACCGGUGCCUCAUUGUGGAUUCUAGGAGGUGAUGCUGGCCUGGCAGAAAGCAAUCUCAGUGUUGCUAUUGUGCCUCCUGUCUGUUCUGGCUUGAUUAGAGAAGACUCCUGAGGGAACCAGAACCACAACCUUCCAUGUGAUGUCUGCUUCAGCCUGCAGCAGAUAUCCUGUGGGGUCUGUGCUCAGAGUCCUGGUCCUCCAGCAAAGAUGAGCUCCAGGGCCGCUUGGAUGUCUCCAUCAGUGGCCUGCAGAGCUCUCAGCAUCAACUCCUCAUCCUGGAUGCCCAUGUCUCUCAGCUGCUGCAUCUGGGACUGCCAGCGACCCUGAAAACACCCAAACACCACACACGUCAUUUUAUGGCACUCUUGUGUCAGCGUGAACAUCCUGUUGCUGUUUCUCGCCAUUAGGCACCUGCAGGCCUGACAUGUUGGAGGCCUGGAGGGCUUGCUGCAGCGCCUGGCUGAAGAGGUCAUUGCUGACCGGCGUCCCUGCUGGCAUGGGGGCGGCGCCACUAGAGGACUCCGCCUAUGGGUCGCGGGGUAUGCUGGAGCCUAUCCCAGCUGACUUCAGGCAAGAGGCGGGGUACACCCUGGACUGGUCGCCAGCCAAUGGCAGGGCACAUAUACACAAACAACCAUUCACACUCACAUUCAUACCUACGGACAAUUUCAGAUUUGCCAAUGAACCUAACAUGCAUGUUUUUGGAAUUUGGGAGGAAACCGGAGUACCAGGAGAAAACCCACGCACGCACGGGGAGAACAUGCAAACUACACACAGAGAUGCCCAAGCGGAGAUUCAAAGCCAGGAGCUAGAGGAGACGUUGCGGGACGAAGAGGAGGCGGACUGGGCCGGCAUGCUUCCAGCCACAGAGUGCAGCACAAGGAUGAUGGCAUUGACGAGGGCAGGUAUCCAUCCAUCCAUCUUCUACGCCGAUUGGUCUCACUAGGGUCACGGGGUAUGCUGGAGCCUAUCCAAGCUGACUUCUAGCAAGAGGCAGUGUACACCCUCAACUGGCCGCCAGCCAAUCACUUUGGUUCACUACUAAGAGCGGAUAACUUCUUUUUACUUGUAUGGCAGUUAAGACUGUUUGAAUGUGUUUUGUUUUACUACUAGGAGUGGCUCACUUGAAAACUAACUUCACACUUGAAUGGCAAUUAACUCAUUCAAUCCCAGCCACUUUUCAAAAGACAGCCCCCUCAGUACAGGCCAUCUUUGACCAUUUUGACUGGACAGAAUAUUGUGUUCUGUGGCUGUAUAAACAUGGAACCUACUAAAAGAAACCUACACAAUGUAACAAAGCUUGUAUGCAAGGGCUUUUCUUCUUGUCAUGCCAUGUGUCUCCUUUCUCAGCGCUUUUAUGGCAUUAAACUUGCUCUCAAGCGCAAUCCUUUUCUGAGUUGCAUCGUCACCUCUGUCAGCCUCUCGUGCAAAAAAAUGCAAGACGUGUAUAAAUUCGGUGGUGGGCGGGAAAUCGGGCGUUUUAAAAAGAUACUGUAUAACUACCUUCUUUGGUAAUGAAUGAGUAAUGACAGUUUUUUUUUGUUUUACUACCAAGAGUGACUAACUUCUUUUUGCACUUAUAUGACCAUUAAGACUGUUUUCAUGUAUUAUUUUACUACGAAGAGUGGCUAACUUCUUUUUGCACUUGUAUAACAAAACUGUGUUGUUUUUUUGCUUGACUGCUAAAAGUGGCUAACUUCUUUUUACACUUGUAUGGCAAUUAAGACUAAUACAUUUUGUUUCAAGUGUUUUACUACUAAGGGGCUAAUGUCUUCUUGCACUUGUAUGACAGUUAAACAUGUUUUAAAAUGAGAAAAUCUAUGACAUUGUCAUUAAAGUUAAGAUUGUCGUAUUGUUUUCAAGUCUUACUGUCGACAGCGUCGUACUUCUUACACGUGUGGGACAGUUAAGGGUGUUAAAAAAAAUGAAAAUACAAGACGGGCAUCUGCUACAUAAAUCAUCAUGUAAUUUGCCAUUCAAUUCAAGUUAUUUUAUUGCUAACAGUGGUUUACUUAUUUUUACACUUGCAUGAGAAGAUGGUUUUAACUUUUUUUGUGUCACUACUAAGAGUGGUUAACUUAUUUUAACACUUGUCUGGCCAAUGUUGGCCAAUGACCAAUGUUAAACUUAUGUUAAUGUCAAACGUUUACGAUGGUGACAAUUUGACACUGGAACAGAUUUCUAUUUCCAUUAUUUCCU